AUCAGAUCUUGAAAUUAAUAUGACCAAUCUUUAGACAUAAACCUCAUUGAGUAUAUUUAAAUAUCUUGCUUGCAGCUCUUCAGUUUUUUUCAAACCAUUAAAUAAGUUAUCCUUGGAUCGUACCUUACUAGGAUAACUGGGGCAAUUCUAGAGCUAAUACAUGCAGCAGAGCUCUGUCCCUCUGAAGAACACUUUUAUUAGACCAAAACCAAUCCGAUCUCGUGCCUGUAUUAUGUGGUGACUAACUUUGGUUUGAUUGCACAGGCUGGUCCUGGUGAUGUAUCUUUCAAGUAUCAGCUGAUGAUGGUAAUGAAUAAUAAUUACACACCUACCAUAGUUGUAACAGCCAAUGAGGAAUCAGGGUUCAAAUCUGGAGAAAUGGUUGCCACAUCAAAGGAAGAUGGCAAGAGUGCUAAUUAGACACACUCCUGGGUUGGGAGGUAGUGAUAAAAAACAAAAUAUAUGGGACUCUUAUAGGGCCCGUAAUAGGAAUAAGUACACUAUAAAUCUUUUACGAGGAUUAAUUGAUGGGCAAAUCUGGUGGCAGCAGUCACAGUAAUUUCAGCUCCAAUGUAUAUUAAAGUUGUUGUGGUUAAAAAGCUCAUUGGAUUUCAUUUCCAGACUGUUGGUCAGCCUUUCUGAACAGCCAAUCAGUUUCUUUUGAUGAUAUCUGGUGAUUGGCAAGUUCACUUUGAAAAAAUUAGGGCUCAGAGCAGACAGACUGCCUAAUAAUAGUGCAUGGAAUAAUGAAAUAGUAUCUCGGUUUUUAUUUGUUGGUUUUCAGAACAUGACUUUUUCCAAAGAAAUUAGUAUAUUAGAUGUUAGUAUAUUAGAUAUAUUAGUAUAUAUAUUUUUUUAAUGAAAAAAUGAUGUGUAAAAAUGCUUCA
rnacentral:ncRNA from 1 species